rnacentral:rRNA from 1 species
GACGAACGCUGGCGGCGUGCUUAACACAUGCAAGUCGAACGGUAAGGCCCUUCGGGGUACACGAGUGGCGAACGGGUGAGUAACACGGGGGUGAUCUGCCCCGCACUUCGGGAUAAGCCUGGGAAACUGGGUCUAAUACCGGAUAGGACCACUGCCUGCAUGGGUGGUGGUGGAAAGCUUUUGCGGUGUGGGAUGGGCCCGCGGCCUAUCAGCUUGUUGGUGGGGUGAUGGCCUACCAAGGCGACGACGGGUAGCCGGCCUGAGAGGGUGACCGGCCACACUGGGACUGAGAUACGGCCCAGACUCCUACGGGAGACAGCAGUGGGGAAUAUUGCACAAUGGGCGCAAGCCUGAUGCAGCGACGCCGCGUGAGGGAUGACGGCCUUCGGGUUGUAAACCUCUUUCAGCACCGACGAAGCGCAAGUGACGGUAGGUGCAGAAGAAGGACCGGCCAACUACGUGCCAGCCGCCGCGGUAA